rnacentral:rRNA from 1 species
UACAGAGGGGGCCAGCGUUAUUCGGAAUUAUUGGGCGUAAAGGGCGCGUAGGCGGCUUUGCGUGUCUUUCGUGAAAUCCCUCGGCUCAACUGAGGACGUGCGGAAGAAACUGCAGGGCUGGAGUCCGGGAGAGGAGGGUGGAAUUCCCGGUGUAGUGGUGAAAUGCGUAGAUAUCGGGAGGAACACCAGUGGCGAAGGCGACUACCUGGCCCGGUACUGACGCUGAGGUGCGAAAGCGUGGGGAGCAAACAGG